GAUGAACGCUGGCGGCGUGCAUAACACAUUCAAGUCGAACGGGGUAGCAAUACCCAGUGGCGGACGGGUGAGUAACGCGUGAGCAACCUGCCCUUGUGUGGGGGAUACCAUCUGGAAACGGAUGUUAAUACCGCAUAACAUAUACGGAUCGCAUGGUUUGUAUAUCAAAGAUUUAUUGCGCAAGGAUGGGCUCGCGUCCGAUUAGAUAGUUGGUGAGGUAACGGCCCACCAAGUCGACGAUCGGUAGCCGGACUGAGAGGUCGAACGGCCACAUUGGGACUGAGACACGGCCCAGACUCCUACGGGAGGCAGCAGUGGGGGAUAUUGCACAAUGGGGGAAACCCUGAUGCAGCGACGCCGCGUGAGGGAAGACGGUCCUCUGGAUUGUAAACCUCUGUCUUCGGGGACGAAAGAAGACGGUACCCGAGGAGGAAGCCACGGCUAACUACGUG
rnacentral:rRNA from 1 species